rnacentral:lncRNA from 1 species
GGAUUCAGCUCACUGUGCUCUAAGGCAACUUUCAUAGCAGAAAUGCUAUGAUUUGGUAAUUCUAAGCAUCUGAGAAUGUUUUCUUUGGCCCUUGGCCAUCCCAGGAUGUUUGAUAAAAUCUGAUCAUUUGGAUAAGUCCCAGGAAAGGAACAGAUCAGAGCCUGCGUUGGGUGCUGGGAGCCCACCUGAUGGGAGAGUGUGUGUACAUGUGGUGGGGAAUAGGGAGCAUGGUAAAGUGUGGAGAAAGAGAACGAGAAAGAAUUAAAGAUUAUUCAACUUGUUCCAAAUAUAGAAACUGAGCCCCAGAGAAGGAAAUGAUUCGUUCAAGUUUUACAGCUAGUUAAAGGCAGAACUGGGAUUAGAAUUAAUACAUUCCUGGAUUCUUUCCCCUACAGUGAGGAUGACAAAUACAUUUCCUUUUCUGCCCUCUGAUCAAUUAGCAGUGGCUGCCUUGAGCACUGACUUCUGGAAGGUUCCCAGGUCCUUCAAAAUUCAGCAAGAAGAAUGUUGAUUGAUUAGCAAUGUCUGAUAUGGCCACAGGAAAGGAGAGUACCCAGAUUUUGUCAGCCAGGACUUACCAGGACUUGUGAUAAAACAAAAUCGCCAGUGGGGAACUUGAGGCUCAUUCCUCAUAGAGAACCAACAGGCUCCAAAUCACCAAACUUCUUUGCCUCUCUGGGAAAACUAAAUGACCCACCAU